GACGAACGCUGGCGGCGUGCCUAACACAUGCAAGUCGAGCGGAGAUAGACUGAUGGUAACUGAAGUUUGUCUUAGCGGCGGACGGGUGAGUAACACGUGGGCAACCUGCCUUGGAGUGGGGGAUAACACCGGGAAAUCGGUGCUAAUACCGCAUAACAUACACAAACUGCAUGGUAAGUGUAUCAAAGGAGCAAUCCGCUUUAAGAUGGGCCCGCGGCUGAUUAGCUAGUUGGUAAGGUAACGGCUUACCAAGGCGACGAUCAGUAGCCGACCUGAGAGGGUGACCGGCCACACUGGAACUGAGACACGGUCCAGACUCCUACGGGGGGCAGCAGUGGGGAAUAUUGCGCAAUGGGGGAAACCCUGACGCAGCAACGCCGCGUGGAGGAAGAAGGUCUUCGGAUUGUAAACUCCUGUCUUCUGGGACGAAGUAUGACGGUACCAGAGGAGGAAGCCACGGCUAACUACGUG
rnacentral:rRNA from 1 species